GUAACACUAACUGGAGGACCGAACCGACUAAUGUUGAAAAAUUAGCGGAUGACUUGUGGCUGGGGGUGAAAGGCCAAUCAAACCGGGAGAUAGCUGGUUCUCCCCGAAAGCUAUUUAGGUAGCGCCUCGUGAAUUCAUCUUCGGGGGUAGAGCACUGUUUCGGCUAGGGGGUCAUCCCGACUUACCAACCCGAUGCAAACUACGAAUACCGAAGAAUGUUAUCACGGGAGACACACGGCGGGUGCUAACGUCCGUCGUGAAGAGGGAAACAACCCAGACCGCCAGCUAAGGUCCCAAAGUCAUGGUUAAGUGGGAAACGAUGUGGGAAGGCACAGACAGCCAGGAUGUUGGCUUAGAAGCAGCCAUCAUUUAAAGAAAGCGUAAUAGCUCACUGGUCGAGUCGGCCUGCGCGGAAGAUGUAACGGGGCUAAACCAUGCACCGAAGCUGCGGCAGCGACACUAUGUGUUGUUGGGUAGGGGAGCGUUCUGUAAGCCUGCGAAGGUGUGCUGUGAGGCAUGCUGGAGGUAUCAGAAGUGCGAAUGCUGACAUAAGUAACGAUAAAGCGGGUGAAAAGCCCGCUCGCCGGAAGACCAAGGGUUCCUGUCCAACGUUAAUCGGGGCAGGGUGAGUCGACCCCUAAGGC
rnacentral:rRNA from 1 species